AGUGGGGAAUAUUGCACAAUGGAGGGAACUCUGAUGCAGCAACGCCGCGUGGAGGAUGACACAUUUCGGUGCGUAAACUCCUUUUAUAUGAGAAGAUAAUGACGGUAUCAUAUGAAUAAGCACCGGCUAACUCCGUGCCAGCAGCCGCGGUAAUACGGGGGGUGCAAGCGUUACUCGGAAUCACUGGGCGUAAAGAGAAUGUAGGCUGGCUAUUAAGUUGGAAGUGAAAUCCUAUGGCUUAACCAUAGAACUGCUUCCAAAACUGAUUGCCUAGAAUAUGGGAGAGGUAGAUGGAAUUUCUGGUGUAGGGGUAAAAUCCGUAGAGAUCAGAAGGAAUACCGAUUGCGAAGGCGAUCUACUGGAACAUUAUUGACGCUCAGAUUCGAAAGCGUGGGGAGCAAACAGGAUUAGAUACCCUGGUAGUCCACGCCCUAAACGAUGUACACUAGUUGUUGCUAUGCUAGACAUAGCAGUAAUGCAGUUAACACAGUAAGUGUACCGCCUGGGGAGUACGGUCGCAAGAUUAAAACUCAAAGGAAUAGACGGGGACCCGCACAAGCGGUGGAGCAUGUGGUUUAAUUCGACGAUACGCGAAGAACCUUACCUGGCCUUGACAUAGAUAGAAUUUUGCAGAGACGCGAAAGUGCUAGUUUACUAGAGCUAUCAUACAGGUGCUGCACGGCUGUCGUCAGCUCGUGUCGUGAGAUGUUGGGUUAAGUCCCGCAACGAGCGCAACCCUCGUGUUUAGUUACUAACAGUUCGGCUGAGGACUCUAAACAGACUGCCUGGGUAACCAGGAGGAAGGUGAGGACGACGUCAAGUCAUCAUGGCCCUUACGGCCAGGGCUACACACGUGCUACAAUGGGGUAUACAAAGAGCCGCGAUACCGUGAGGUGGAGCAAAUCUCAUAAAAUAUCUCCCAGUUCGGAUUGAAGUCUGCAACUCGACUUCAUGAAGUUGGAAUCGCUAGUAAUCGUGAAUCAGCAAUGUCACGGUGAAUACGU
rnacentral:rRNA from 1 species